CGGGUUGUAAACUUCUUUUAUGAGUGAAGAAUAUGACGGUAACUCAUGAAUAAGCACCGGCUAACUACGUGCCAGCAGCCGCGGUCAUACGUAGGGUGCAAGCAUUAUCCGGAGUGACUGGGCGUAAAGAGUUGCGUAGGCGGUUUAAUAAGUGAAUAGUGAAACCUGGUGGCUCAACCAUACAGACUAUUAUUCAAACUGUUAAACUCGAGAAUGGUAGAGGUAACUGGAAUUUCUAGUGUAGGAGUGAAAUCCGUAGAUAUUAGAAGGAACACCGAUGGCGUAGGCAGGUUACUGGGCCAUUUCUGACGCUAAGGCACGAAAGCGUGGGGAGCGAACCGGAUUAGAUACCCGGGUAGUCCACGCCGUAAACGAUGGAUACUAGCUGUUGGAGGUAUCGACCCCUUCAGUAGCGAAGCUAACGCGUUAAGUAUCCCGCCUGUGGAGUACGGCCGCAAGGCUAAAACAUAAAGGAAUUGACGGGGACCCGCACAAGCGGUGGAUUAUGUUCUUUAAUUCGAUGAUAACCGAAGAACCUUACCAGGGCUUGACAUCCAGGGAAGGUCUGCGAAAGUAGACUGUGCCUUUUGGAACCCUGUGACAGGUGAUGCAUGGCCGUCGUCAGCUCGUGUCGUGAGAUGUUAGGUUAAGUCCUUCAACGAGCGCAACCCUUGUGAAUAGUUGUAUUUUUCUAUUCAGACUGCCCCGGUAACGGGGAGGAAGGAGGGGAUGAUGUCAGGUCAGUAUUUCCCUUACGUCCUGGGCUAGAAACGUAAUACAAUGGCUAGUACAAUGCGCAGCGAAGCCGCGAGGUGAAGCAAAUCGCAUCAAAGCUAGUCCCAGUUCGGAUUGUAGGCUGAAACUCGCCUGCAUGAAGUCGGAAUCGCUAGUAAUCGCAAAUCAGCAAGUUGCGGUGAAUACGUUCCCGAGUCUUGUACACACCGCCCGUCAAACCAUGAAAGUGACCAACACCCGAAGUCCGAUUCGUCGGCCUAAGGUGGGGGGCAUGAUUGGGGUUAAGUCGUAACAAGGUAUCCGUACCGGAAGGUGCGGAUG
rnacentral:rRNA from 1 species